GGGGGGGGGGGGUACGGAUAUUAAAUGGAAUAGCCCAUUCAAACAAAAAUACCAAUACUGGUAUAUAUAGAAGGCCAUAGAAUACAGCAAAUGUCUAUUAUAAGCUAAGAGAUAAUAUCCUUAUGAUCCUUAGAGCAUGGUUGACGAUUUCUAAUAUUAUUAUGACUUUCAACGAUAAUUUUAAGAAUAUAGUUUAAAAUUGAAAAAUCCCCCCAAAAUGAUCAAUUUCCCAAACAUCUAUAUGCUAGGUAUGUUAUUAUACGUAAUAUAAGCUUCAAUUUAAUGUAAAAGUCAACCACAAAUGCUUCGCAAAACGUUUCAAAAUGUUCUUAAAACUAAACUGC